GACGUAGGGGGCAAGCGUUAUUCGGAAUUAUUGGGCGUAAAGCGCUCGUAGGCGGGACUGGAAGUCCGUGUUGAAAGACCUCGGCUCAACUGAGGGACCGGCUCGGAUACUCUAGUUCUUGAGGCAAUCAGAGGGUGAUGGAAUUCCCGGUGUAGCGGUGAAAUGCGUAGAGAUCCGGAAGAACACCGGUGGCGAAGGCGGUCUGCUGGGCCAAGACUGACGCUGAGGCGCGACAGCGUGGGGAGCAAACAGG
rnacentral:rRNA from 1 species